rnacentral:rRNA from 1 species
GUCUUCUUGUAAUUUCGCAUAAGAAGUCUAGCCUGCCCAGUGAUUAUUUAUUUAACGGCCGCGGUAUCCUGACCGUGCGAAGGUAGCGUAAUCAUUUGCCUUAUAAUUGAAGGCUUGUAUGAAUGGUUUGACGAGGGUUUAACUGUCUAUUUCUAAUUUAGUAGAAUUUAACUUUUAGAUGAAGAGGUCUAAAUUCAAUUAAAAGACGAGAAGACCCUAUCGAGCUUUUGAAUAUUUUUAAUUUGGUGUUGAAAAAUUCUUUAAUUGGGGCAAUUAAGGAACAAGAAAAGCUUCUUUAUUAGAUAACAUUUGCAGAUAUUGAUCCACUUUUAGUGAUUAAAGGAACUAAGUUACCGUAGGGAUAACAGCGUUAUCUUUCUUGAGAGUUCUUAUUAAAAGAAAGGUUUGCGACCUCGAUGUUGGACUAAAGUGUCCUGAAGAUGCAGAAGUCUUCAAGGGUUGGUCUGUUCGACCAUUAAAACUUU